AUUGAACGCUGGCGGAAUGCUUUACACAUGCAAGUCGAACGGCAGCACGGACUUCGGUCUGGUGGCGAGUGGCGAACGGGUGAGUAAUAUAUCGGAACGUGCCCAGUCGUGGGGGAUAACGUAGGGAAAAUUACGCUAAUACCGCAUACGAUCUAUGGAUGAAAGCGGGGGACCUUUGGGCCUCGCGCGAUUGGAGCGGCCGAUAUCAGAUUAGGUAGUUGGUGGGGUAAAGGCUCACCAAGCCAACGAUCUGUAGCUGGUCUGAGAGGACGACCAGCCACACUGGGACUGAGACACGGCCCAGACUCCUACGGGAGGCAGCAGUGGGGAAUUUUGGACAAUGGACGCAAGUCUGAUCCAGCCAUUCCGCGUGCAGGACGAAGGCCUUCGGGUUGUAAACUGCUUUUGUACAGAACGAAAAGGUUUCUAUUAAUACUAGGAGCUCAUGACGGUACUGUAAGAAUAAGCACCGGCUAACUACGUGCCAGCCGCCGCAGUAA
rnacentral:rRNA from 1 species